CCUAUGGGAGGCAGCAGUGGGGAAUCUUGCGCAAUGGGCGAAAGCCUGACGCAGCAACGCCGCGUGCGGGAAGAAGGCCCUAGGGUUGUAAACCGCUUUCAGUAGGAACGAAAAUGACGGUACCUGCAGAAGAAGGUGCGGCCAACUACGUGCCAGCAGCCGCGGUGACACGUAGGCACCAAGCGUUGUCCGGAUUUAUUGGGCGUAAAGAGCUCGUAGGCGGUUCAGUAAGUCGGGUGUGAAAACUCUGGGCUUAACCCAGAGCCGCCACUCGAUACUGCUGUGACUUGAGUUCGGUAGGGGAGCGGGGAAUUCCUAGUGUAGCGGUGAAAUGCGCAGAUAUUAGGAGGAACACCGGUGGCGAAGGCGCCGCUCUGGGCCGAUACUGACGCUGAGGAGCGAAAGCGUGGGUAGCAAACAGGAUUAGAUACCCUGGUAGUCCACGCCGUAAACGUUGGGCACUAGGUGUGGGUUCCAACCAACGGAAUCCGCGCCGUCGCUAACGCAUUAAGUGCCCCGCCUGGGGNGUACGGCGCGACGACAACUACAAUAGAUAGACGGCGNGAGACGCGACGACGACGACGACGAGGAGAG
rnacentral:rRNA from 1 species